rnacentral:lncRNA from 13 species
UAACCCUUGUUAAUGAGUGAGUUUGGUUGUUCUAUUAGUUCACAGGAGAAGUGAUUGUUAAAAAAAACCUAGAAUCUUAUUCCCCCUCUUUUGUUCCCUGUCUCACCAUGAGAGAUGCCUUCUUCCACUUUGCCUUCUGCCCUGAGUGAAGCUUCCUGGUCCCUAUCAGAAGAGAAGCAGAUACUGGUGCCAUGCUUGUUCAGCAUUCAGGACUUUGAGCUUAAUAAAGCUCUCUUCUUUAUGCAUUGCCCAAUCUCAGGUCAGCGGACUCCCCCCUGUGGGUUCCUGAAUGCCUGGUGAAACAUGGAUUUUCUUCCGAUGGGAGGCACCAGUACUCUGAUUCCUCGGUUGCGGCGCCCACAUCUGACUUCUCCACCACUUCGCCGCUGCAGGAAGAAAAGGAGGACAGCAACCCUCCUUCGCUGCAGUUCCUGCCAACUUGGACUCAGAUGAAACGUCUUAGCGUUGAAGCAGCCGAGCUUGUGGACUCUCAGGGUACUCCAGGUACUCCAGCUGUUAUGUUUGUUGCUAUGAUGGCCAUUUUAUCUUGUCAUAUCCCAGGAGCUCAGUCUGAUACGCAGGCAUUGUGGGCUUAUGUUCUAGACCCUCCAUACCUUUAAUACCUGGUGAAGAUUUUUUUUACCAGAGAUUGGAGUCUGUUUUAUUUCAGGAUUAAGGAAUCUGAAAAUAUAUCCUCCCCAAAUUUUCCUCAAAUUGAGAGGAUACGCUGUCGGCCUAGUAAUCAAUCUCUUGAUCCUUCUCCACCUUAGAAGCUAUGCUACCCUAAACAAAAACAAGCAUUAAGUU